rnacentral:rRNA from 1 species
UACGUAGGGUGCGAGCGUUGUCCGGAAUUAUUGGGCGUAAAGGGCUCGUAGGCGGUUUGUCGCGUCGGGAGUGAAAACCAGGGGCUUAACACCUGGCUUGCUUUCGAUACGGGCAGACUAGAGGUAUGCAGGGGAGAACGGAAUUCCUGGUGUAGCGGUGAAAUGCGCAGAUAUCAGGAGGAACACCGGUGGCGAAGGCGGUUCUCUGGGCCUUACCUGACGCUGAGGAGCGAAAGUGUGGGGAGCGAACAGG